rnacentral:lncRNA from 10 species
CCUCUCUGAGACUCAGUUUUGCAAUCUAUAAAGCUAGUAUCAUAAUACCCAUCAUAAGGUUGUUGUUAGGUCUAAAUAAAUUUAUUUAGCUAAUGGUGUUUAUAUAUUUUAAAAUUGUGUAAAGUAUUAAUUAGUAAUUAUCCUUAGUAAUACAUAAAUGUAUAUUAAUAAGCAGUCCUAUUUGGCACUACUUUUGGAUUAAUUUUAUCUUUAAAUAAAAUAUAUUUUUCUUGUGAUUCAACUUUUUCAUUAAUUCAGAUUACAUCUCUAUAAUUAAUGUGAACUAACAUGGUUUUAAUGUGACAGAUUAGGAUUCAGCCUUUUAAUCUUAAAGAAAAUAUUGAGCAGUAAGAAGAUAAAGUAUGUAAUCUUAGACUAAAAAGACAUAGACCCAUGUUACUUGGAACAUAUUUUAACAUAUUAAUGAACUGAAAGAAGAAAAAAAAUUUUUUUUUAAAUUUUGUUUCUGUUAUUUACUUUUUAGACUAAGAAAUCAACAAAUAUUUCUUGAGCACUGUUUUGGUGUCACUCUUCUUUUCCUUUUUCCAACCAUAUAACUGAAUAUUUUCACAAAUAAACUCCUACUAAGGAAAAUGCUAUUUAAGUAGUUAAAUCUAAUUAGAA